rnacentral:rRNA from 1 species
GAUGAACGCUAGCUACAGGCUUAACACAUGCAAGUCGAGGGGCAUCAGGAAGAAAGCUUGCUUUCUUUGCUGGCGACCGGCGCACGGGUGCGUAAACGCGUAUGCAACCUACCUUUAACAGGGGCAUAACACUGAGAAAUUGGUACUAAUUCCCCAUAACAUUCGAGAAGGCAUCUUCUUGGGUUAAAAACUCCGGUGGUUAAAGAUGGGCAUGCGUUGUAUUAGCUAGUUGGUGAGGUAACGGCUCACCAAGGCAACGAUACAUAGGGGGACUGAGAGGUUAACCCCCCACAUUGGUACUGAGACACGGACCAAACUCCUACGGGAGGCAGCAGUGAGGAAUAUUGGUCAAUGGACGCAAGUCUGAACCAGCCAUGCCGCGUGCAGGAAGACGGCUCUAAUGAGUUGUAAACUGCUUUUGUACUAGGGUAAACGCUUCUACGUGUAGGAGCCCUGAAAGUAUAGUACGAAUAAGGAUCGGCUAAACUCCGUGCCAGCAGCCGCCGUAAG